rnacentral:lncRNA from 1 species
UGGGUGGUUGUUGGGUUGUAGGUUGGUUGGUUGGUUGGGUUGCUGUUGGGGUGAUUGGUUGUUGGAGUUGGUUGUUGGGUCCUUGGAUGGUUGGUGGUGUGGUUGGUUGUUGGGUGGUUGUUUGAGUGGUCGGGUGGUUGGUUGGAUGGUUGUUGGGGUAGUUUUUGAGGUGGUUGGGUAGUUGUUGGGGUGGUUGGUUGGUUGGGUUGUUGUUGGGGUGCUUGGGCUGUUGGGGUUGGGUUUGGGGUGAUUUCUUGGGUGCUUGGGUGGUUGGUGAGUGGUUGUUGGGGUGGUUGGGUGUUUGGUUGUUUGCCUUGGGUGGUUGGGUGGUUGGUUGUUGGGGUGUUUGGGUGGUUGUUGGGUGGUUGUUGGGGUGGUUGGUUGUUGGGGUGGUUGGUUGUUGGGGUGUUGAGUAGUUGGUUGGGUGGCAGGUCGGUUGUUUCACUGAGUGGUUGUUUGGGUCAUUGGUUGGUUGUUUUGGUGGUUGUUGAAGUGGUUGGUUGGUUGUUGGGGCGGUUGAUCGAUCAACUGGGUGGUCGGUUGAUUCAUUGGGUGACUGUUAGGGUGGGUUGUUGGGUGGGUGGUUGAGUGGUUGAUUGGGUGUUUCGUUGGGUGGUUGGUUGUUGGGAGGUUGGUUGAUUGGUGUGUUGAGUUUUUGGUGGUUGGGUGGUUGGUGUGUUGGGUUGUUGUUUGAUGGUUGGGUGAUUGUUUGGGUGGUUGGUUGGUUGGGAGGUUGGUUGAUGUGUCGGGUGGUUGGUUGGGUGGUUGGUUGGGUGGUUGGUUGGGUGGUUGAUUGAAUUUUGUCCAUUUUUAUUUCUCUAAACAGACACAACGCGGCGUAACCGCAAAGCGACGACUUACGGCGCCUGAAGCACAACGUGGAGCUUGAGGAAAAAAAAAAAACCAAACAAACCAAACCAAAACCCCAACAAAACCCCAAACCAAAUCCCAAACCAAACCCCAAAGCAGCUUAAAAAGAAAAAAAAAGAAAACCCAAACAAAUCCCAAAUCAACAAUCCCUACAGCGUGGCACUGCCUGAAGAAUGGGGCGACCUCGAGGGGGGGGCACGGGGUGGCUCACAUCUGCAAAAUAGGGCUGUGUGAGGCUCUGGUUUCAACAUCAGAACCCAAAGGGCACCUCGAAGAGUGGAAGGAGAGGUGGGGUGGGAUGGGGGGAGGGGGGACAGCGGCGCUGGGGGGGCAGCAAGCAGGGCUGGAGCAGAGCUGCCUGCUUUAGGAACGGGGAAACAC